GAUGAACGCUGGCGGCGUGCCUAAUACAUGCAAGUCGAGUGGAAAGGCCCCUUCGGGGGUACUCGAGCGGCGGACGGCUGAGUAACACGUAGGAACGUACCCCAAAGUGAGGGAUAAGCACCAGAAAUGGUGUCUAAUACCGCAUGUGCUCUAAGGAGUAAAGCUUCGGCGCUUUGGGAACGGCCUGCGCAUGAUUAGCUUGUUGGUGAGGUAAUAGCUCACCAAGGCGACGAUCAUUAGCUGGUCUGAGAGGAUGACCAGCCAGACUGGAACUGAGAACGGUCCAG
rnacentral:rRNA from 1 species